GUCAUGCUCUGGAGGGCUUAAUCGAAAUGGUGAGGUCACAGUCACUGGCUGGGAGCACCGUCUGAGGACGGGUCACCGGGGUCACCAUGCUAGGGUUGGGGUUCUGGCCAAAUCUUGGCAACGCAUGUUGAUUUUGAUAUUAAUGACCUUGAACAUGUCACCACGUAUGGAGAGAACGGCGGCAUUGUGUGAGGGCGAAGGUCAAGGUAGGCAGGUUCCAGUCGGGUACGUGACAGCGCGGAGGGCAGGGCCGUCCAGGGGGACGGAAUGGGGCCCAGGACCCCGACCAGGACGUAUUUAAGGGGCGGGCGGGUUCCGAGAUGCCAAGUCGUGCCGCGAGUCUCCUGUCUCCCGCUGCCUCUCCCGCUGUCUGUCUGUCUGUCUGUCUACUGUCUCUCCGCCAGCAUGCCGGGACGGGCGCUACUGCAGACCUCUCUGGUGCUCUGGCUGGUUCAGCUCACGCUGCAAGGAGGUAUCAGCAGACCACAGAGUGGAGGACUUGGCCGCUUGAUACCAGGAAGAGGUGCUGGUGUGCUGGGAAUCCCAGGAGUGCGUGGGAAUGGGGGAGGAAAGUUGGGCAAGGCUGGGGCUGCAGCUUUCAAGCCCACAGGUGCAGGAGGUCGGGGACUUGGAGGCCUUAAGCAAGGAUAUGGUGCACAACCAAGCUAUGGAGCUGCUUAUGGAGCUGGCCUGGGCCCUGGUCUGGGACUGGGUUUGGGACUAGGUAACGGCCUUGGUGGAGGACUGGGAGCUGGUCUGGGUCCUCAAGUUGGAAAGCAGCUUGGCAGAGGGUACGGUGGUAACGGUUAUGGAUCUCUGCCUGGGUACGGGGUCGGUGCAGGAGGCUACCCUGGAGCCGGUCGUGGCGCUGCAGCGGGUGGAUAUCCCACAGGACAGGGGGCUAAAGGACCCAAGCCGGGGUUCGGUCCAGCAGCGGGUGCUCACGGCCGAAAGGGACCUAAAGGGAACGGAUAUGGUCCGGCGCCAGGCCUUCCCGGCGGAGCUGUCAGCAACGGGUUUGGUCCCGGAGCUGAACUUGGCAAUGGACAUGGGGCAAGGCACAAUGGACAUGGUCCAGAAGAUGUUGUAUCCAAUGGACCUGUCAGAAAUGGACUUGGCCCAGGAGACGUAGGUCUUGCCAAUGGGAAAGGAGCUAAAGGCAACGGAGCAGGGCUGCCUUUCAGACAGGGUGCCAAGCCGGCGAAAACGGGUUACGGCCCGGGCUUGGGCAGCUACCUCGGACUCGGAAACGGUUACGGAGCAGGCCUGGGGCAGGGCGGAUACCCUCUGCUGAGAAGCGGAGGCAAGCAAGCAGGCUACACUGAUGGACAGCUAGGCUUCCUAGGGACUGGCCUCGGAUACGGUGAUGGAUACGGAGCCGGGGCCCUCGGCGUGGGAGCCAAAGCUGUGCCUGCAGGAUACGGGAACGGCUAUCUGCUCGGCGGAGCCGGUUACGCUCCAGGAGCCGGCGGAUACCCGUCACUGUUAGCCGACGGGGCCGGGCUGGGAGGCAAAGCAGGGAAGGGUGCAGGAGGCGCUGCCUUGGGUGCUGCCGGCUCUCUGCCCUACGGGGGUCAGCCCGUGGUCGCCGCCGGCCUGGGUCCUGAAGCCAAGUCUGGGUACGGAACCGGCUCGCUGCCAUAUGCCGGGCACGCCGCAGGACUUCUGCCAGACGGCGGACUGGGCGCCCUCGGUGCGGGUCUGGACCCAUCUGCUGGGAAAUAUGGAGCCGGUCAGCUUCCUUACCAAGGCGCUCCAGUCAUCCCUGCAGGGCUGGACGAUGGCGGAUACCCAUACGGUGCUCAGCAUCUCAGCCUGGAGGCCGAGGCCAGUAAAGCUGCCAGCAAAUAUGGGGACGGUGGGGCAGGGCUGCGCCCCCAAGCUUCCCAAGCUUAUGGACUGGAGACUGGGGGAAAACCUAAUUGCAAAAAUGGAAGUGGCAGGGGGUACGCAGGAUCGCAGCCAGCAGCUGUAAAGGAAGUGAGCAAGUACGGCCUGAACGGCGCCUAUGGCAACGGCUACAAAGGUUGAUCCAGCAAGCUGUGGCUCCGUUUCCCUCAUGUGUCAGUCUCUUAUUGUAUGUUACAUUAUGUUGGUCGUAUGUUCUGUUUUCUUCACCAUUUUUGCCUUCUGUGUCGGUCAUUUUUGUCAACUCCCCCCAUGAUUUGUUGUCCAGAAAAAGUGCUGGUUUUAUUGGUUCGUAUCCUUGCUACAUGUGAAAUGAUGUUUUGCUUUGUUUCCAAACAUGAAACAUUAAACAAUUUUCACCGUUUUCAGUUUUUCAGUGUUCGCUUUUCCAUUUUGACUUAUGGUUGAUUUUAUUGUUUUGCAUUGUAAGUAUCGUCAUAAUGCAAGAUCAUUUCGACAACAAGUAGAGGAGACCUUCUUCCGGGAGCCAUAAAGCCACAGUCUUCCUGUCCCACACAGUCGAAAUGAAAACUAAAACAGUGGGGCAGGAUGAGGCAGAAUUAAACGGGUUAUCUGAAUCAACAUCUCACUUUUUACUGCCAUCACAUUUACGGCCUUGUCCAGAGCGCC
rnacentral:lncRNA from 1 species